UCGAAACCCCGAGGGUGCAGAGGGGGAUCGGAGAGAUCCGUUCCUCCGAAGCCCUUCGUUUUUACUCUUUGACACACCCGCGUGCACCCCAUUCGCAAGGGUCCCUUCGGGACCUGUGCGUUUCGUCUCUGACUCGCAUGUCUACAGAAUGUCGAUAGCAUUUGAUAUAUAUAUAAAAA
rnacentral:misc_RNA from 2 species